rnacentral:lncRNA from 10 species
CGCCUGGGGAGAUUUUAAGCUGGAGCAAGGCUCAGGCUGGCUCUUCACUCCCAGAGAUUUCCACUGAAUUGGCCUCGUUGGUGCCCAAGCUCUCCAGGUGAAGGUAUUUGCGCCUAAUGUCGAGCAGAUGCUCAUCGUUAAUCACUUGAAAGGGAGCCCAACAGAAAGAAGAGAAAUGUGCUGGAGGAAAGUGCCAGGAGAGCCCGGAGGGACGUCCAAGACUUGGCAGACCUGAACUCGAGCAAGCUUGAUGCUGUCAUUCUACCUGGAAUUGUUCCAAUCAUUGGGGAUUCAGCAGUGAACAAAACAGACACAAUUCCUUGGUUUCAAGAUACCUGCAUUCUGAUAAAACGUGUGAGACGAUAAUAACCAAGGUUGUGUCACACCUUUUCCUGAACUUUGGCUCAAUUGAAGAAGGAAACUUUCAGGGGAAUUCCAAUAGUAAACAACAGAACCAGCAGUUUUACAAUAAACUGCAGAGCUCCAUUUCAAAACACAAAAAUAGAGCGUCUCUGCAGUGAUGUACUGCCUUAAGGAAGGGUAAGAUUUUUUUCACGGAUGUUACCAAACUUUAAUGAAGUACAUGUUGUCCACUCCGUGUAUGGAUUUUUGCAUGAUUUCUAUUUUCCAAUGAAGUUCAAGUAAAAUAAUUAGAACAUCACUUAUAUAUAAAAUGCUGACAAAUCUCUACAAAACUCACAAAACAGAAAAAUUCAAGGCCAGUCCAUCUUUGGCCUAUAAUCUGGCUUUCAUGCUCUUCUAGUUUCUCCUGACCCCCUGUAUUAGUCUGUCUUUAUGCUACUGAUAAAGACAUACCUGAGACUGGGAAGAAAAGGAGGUUUAAUUUGAUUUACAAUUCCACAUGGCUGGGGCGGCCUCAAAAUCAUAGUGGAGGGUGAAAGGCACUUCUUACAUGGUGGCAGCAAGAGAGAAUGAAGAAGAAGGAAAAGCAGAAACCCCGAUAAACCCAUCAGAUUUCAUGAGACUUAUUCACUAUCAUGAGAGUAGCACAGGAAAGAGUAGCCCACAUGAUUCAAUUACCUUCCCCUGGGUCCCUCCCAGGGGACCGAGGGGAACGUGGGAAUUCUGGGAGAUACAAUUCAAUUUGAGAUUUGGGUGGGAACACAGCCAAACCAUAUCAUAGCACCCCUGGCCCCUCCAAAUCUCAUGUCCUCACAUUUCAAAACCAAUAAUGCCUUCCCAACAGUCCCCAAAAGUCUUAACUCAUUUCAGCAUUAACCCAAAAGUCCACAGUCCAAAGUCUCAUCUGAGACAAGGCAAGUCCCUUCCACCUAUAAGACUGUAAAAUCAAAAGCAAGCUAGUAACUCCUUAGAUACAAUAGGGGUACAGGUAUUGGGUAAAUACAGCCUUUCCAAAUGGGAGAAAUUGGCCAAAACAAAGGCCCAUGCAAGUCCUAAAUCCAGUGGGGCAGUCAAAUUUUAAAGCUCCAAAAUGAUCUCCUUUGACUCCAGGUCUCACGUCCAGGUCACGCUGAUGCAAUAGGUAGGCUCCCAUGAUCUUGGGAAGCUCCACCCCUGUGGCAUUGAAGGGUACAGCCUCCCUCCUGGCUGCUUUUAUGGGCUGUCAUUGAGUAUCUGUGGCUUUUCCAGGCACAAAGUGCAAGCUGAAGGUGGAUCUACCAUUCUGGGGUCUGGAGGAUGGUGGCCUUCUUCUCAUAGCUUCACUAGGUAGUGCCCCAGUAGGGACACUGUGUGGGGGCCCUGACCCCACAUUUCCCUUCUGCACUGCCCUAGCAGAGGUUCUCCAUGAGGGCCCCGCCUCUGCAGCAAACUUUUGCCUGGGCAUCCAAGCGUUUCCAUACAUCUUCUGAAAUCUAGGUGGAGGUUCCCAAACCUCAACUCUUGACUUCUGUACACCUGCAGGCUCAACACCACAUGGAAGGUGUCAAGGCUUGGGGCUUCCCCGCUCUGAAGCCACAGCUUGAGCUGUAUGUUGGCCCCUUGCAGUCAUGGCUGUAGUGGCUGGCACACAGGGCACCAAGUCCCUAAGCUGCACACAGCAUGGGGACCCUGGGCCUGGCCCACAGAACCACUUUUUCCUCCUGGGCCUCUGAGCCUGUGAUGGGAGGGGCUUCUGUGAAGGUCUCUGACAUGUCCUGGAGACAUUUUCCUCAGGGUCUUGGAAAUUAACAUUAGGUUCCUUGCUACUUAUGCAAAUUUCUGCAGCUGACUUGAAUUUCUCCCUGGAAAAUGGGUUUUUCUUCAUUUAGAAUUCAUCAUCAGGCUUCAAAUUUUCUAGACUUUUCUCCUCUAUUUCCCUUUUAAAAUGGAAUGCUUUUAACAGCACCCAAGUCACAUUUUGAAUGCUUUGCUGCUUAGAAAUUUCUUCUGCCAGAUACCCUAAAUCAUCUCUCUCAAGUUCAAAGUUCCACAAAUCUCUAGGGCAGGGGAAAAGUGCCACCAGACUCUUUGCUAAAACAUAACAAGAGUCACCUUUGCUUCAGUUCCUAAGAAGUUCAUCUCCAUCUGAGACCACCUCAGCCUGGACCUUAUUGUCCAUAUCGCUAUCAGGCUUUUGGUCAAAGCCAUUCAACAAAUCUCUAGAAAUUUCCAAACUUUCCCACAUUUUCUUGUUUUCUUCUGAACCCUCCAAACAGUUCCAACCUCUGUCUAUUCUCUAGUUCUAAAGUUGCUUCCACAUUUUCAGGUAUCUUUUCAGCAACACCCCACUCUACUGGUACCAAUUUACUGUAUUAGUUUGUUUUCACACUGCUGAUGAAGACAUACUGAUAACUGGGAACAAAAAGAGCUUUAAUUGGACUUACAUUUCCACAUAGCUAGGGAGGCCUCAGAAUCAUGGCAGGAGGCAAAAGGCACUUCUUACAUGGAGGCGGCAAGAGUAAAAUGAGGAAGAAGCAAAAGCAGAAACCCCAGAUAAACCCAUCAGAUCUCGUGAGACUUAUUCACUAUCACGAGACUAGCACAGGAAAGACCAGCCCCCAUGAUUCAAUUACCUCCCCCUGGGUCCCUCCCACAACACGUGGGAAUUCUGGGAGAUACAAUUCAAUUUGAGAUUUGGGUGGGGACACAGCCAAACCAUGUCACCACCCAUGCCACUAUUAUGAGGCUGAGCAGUAAGGGUGGCCUGUGUGAGAAAGAUAUGCUGCUGUCAUGCGGUUUCUGCAGUAAAGAGGUCAUGCACUGGUUAUUAGGAAACACUACUUCAAGUCCUCCAUGUAGUUUGCUACCAAAAAAAAAAAAAAAAGCAAUUUGUGCAUUACAGAAAAUAGGUGGAUCACAGAGGAUUUUCAGGGUGGUGAAAUGCCCUUAAUGAUAGAUAUUAUAAUGGUGAUACAUGUCAUUGUACAUUUGUUCAAACCCACAGAAUGUAUAUCACCAAGAGAGAACCCUAAUGUAAACUAGGGACUUUAGGUGAUUAUGAUGUGUCAAUGUAGGGUCAUCAUUGGUACAAAUGUACCAAUCUGGUGGGGAAUGUUGAUAAUGGAGUCUGUGUAUAUUGGGGGACAGGGGAUAUAUAUGGGAAAUCUCUGUACCUUUCUCUUAAUUUUGCUGUGAGCCUAAAAUUGCUCUGAAAAAAUUAAGUAUUAGUAUUUAAAAAAUAAAGCCUGAGAUAAAUGAGAAAAAAAAUAAUGUCUAUUCAAAAUAUUUGAUGUCCUAAAGAGAGGAAAAAUGACCUUCUCAUAGAAUUGAAAUAAUUGAAACUCUCUUUUAACAUGUUAAUUGGUUUUCUCUGCUUGCUUCAUUUUAGGUCUUCUCUGUAGUCCUGGAAAUUCCCAGUGUUCC